rnacentral:rRNA from 1 species
AUUGAACGCUGGCGGCAGGCCUAACACAUGCAAGUCGAACGAGUGGCGUACGGGUUAGUAAUGUCUGGGAAACUGCGUGAUGGAGGGGGAUCACUACUGGAAACGGUAGCUAAUACCGCAUACCAUCAGAUGUGCCCAGAUGGGAUUAGCUUGUGGGUGGGGUAAAGGCUCACCAAGGCGACGAUCCCUAGCUGGUCUGAGAGGAUGACCAGCCACACUGGAACUGAGACACGGUCCAGACUCCUACGGGAGGCAGCAGUGGGGAAUAUUGGACAAUGGGCGAAAGCCUGAUGCAGCCAUGCCGCGUGUAUGAAGAAGGCCUUCGGGUUGUAAAGUACUUUCAGCGGGGAGGCGUUACCCGCAGAAGAAGCACCGGCUAACUCCGUGCCAGCAGCCGCGGUAAUUC